GUGGGGGACAACCCGGGGAAACUCGGGCUAAUACCGCAUCGUCCUCCUUUCACAUCGAUGGGAGGGGAAAGCGGGGGACCUUCGGGCCCUCGCGGAGGAAGUAUCCUACGGCNUAUUANCUUGUUGGUAUGGUAACGCCUACCAAGGCGACGAUCCGUAGCUGGUCUGAGAGGACGACCAGCCACAUGGGACUGAGACACGGCCCAGACUCCUACGGGAGGCAGCAGUGGGGAAUUUGGACAAUGGGCGAAAGCCUGAUCCAGCAAUGCCGCGUGUGUGAAGAAGCCUUAGGGUUGUAAAGCACUUUCAGUGGGGAAGAAAAGCCCGGGGGUUUACCCCCGUGUCUUGACGUUACUCAUAGAAGAAGCACCGGCUAACUCUGGCCACCAGCCGCGGUAAU
rnacentral:rRNA from 1 species